AGAGUUUGAUCAUGGCUCAGGACGAACGCUGGCGGCGUGCUUAACACAUGCAAGUCGAACGGUGAUGACAGGGCUUGCCUUGUCUGAUCAGUGGCGAACGGGUGAGUAACACGUGAGUAACCUGCCCCAGACUCUGGGAUAACCCCGGGAAACCGGAGCUAAUACCGGAUAUGAUCCUUGCACGCAUGUGUGGGGGUGGAAAGUUUUUCGGUCUGGGAUGGGCUCGCGGCCUAUCAGCUUGUUGGUGAGGUAGUGGCUCACCAAGGCGACGACGGGUAGCCGGCCUGAGAGGGCGACCGGCCACACUGGGACUGAGACACGGCCCAGACUCCUACGGGAGGCAGCAGUGGGGAAUAUUGCACAAUGGGCGGAAGCCUGAUGCAGCGACGCCGCGUGAGGGAUGACGGCCUUCGGGUUGUAAACCUCUUUCAGCAGGGAAGAAGCGUGAGUGACGGUACCUGCAGAAGAAGCACCGGCUAACUACGUGCCAGCAGCCGCGGUAAUUC
rnacentral:rRNA from 1 species